GACGAACGCUGGCGGCGUGCUUAACACAUGCAAGUCGAGCGGAGCGGCGAACGGGUGAGUAACGCGUGAGUAACUGCCCCCCCCUCUGGGAUAACAGUUGGAAACGGCUGCUAAUACCGGAUAGUGGGGGAUGACUCGCGUCCUAUCAGCUUGUUGGUGGGGUAGGGGCCUACCAAGGCGACGACGGGUAGCCGGCAUGGGGGGGCGACCGGCCACAUUGGGCUGAGAGACGGACCAGACGCCUACGGGAGGCAGCAGGGGGGAAUAGUGCACGAUGGGGGAAACGCGGAUGCGGCGACGCCGCGUGCGUGAUGACGGCCUUCGGGUUGUGAACGGCUGUCAGCCAUGACGCGGUAGUGGCAGAAGAAGCACCGGCUAACUACGUGCCAGCAGCCGCGGUAAUAC
rnacentral:rRNA from 1 species